AUUUAGUGAGUGCAUAAUCUCAUGAGUUGCAAAAGGCAAUUCAGCGGAUUACGUACAUUAUUCAUCGAUGGUGUUCUAUACCCUUGCCUCUGGUAACAUACUGGGAUACCAAGGGAAAUAUUUUGGCUGAUUUGAUUGUUACCCUUGUAGGAAGGAGUAUUUCAACUGCUCUUUCUGCUGGAGCAGCACUUGCAGUCACUUCUGGUGUAAUUGAUGGAUUAGGUGCAACGACGAGAACUGACAAUGGCAAGGAGUACUAUCCUUACACUACGAAGAAAAGGGCUGCUGUUGAAUGACUGUAGUUGGACAGAAUUAGCGCGACUCAGCGGAAGUUCACUAUGAAUGAUGUGAUCGCACCCUCUUGUUUUGUGCUAUUCUACUUUUUUCCCCUUUAACCUGAAAGGAUGAUGCAAAUAAGAAUGCUAUGUACUAUACUUCUAUCAUUGCAGGUGAUUUUUCAUUGAGUUUGAUACCUGACUGGAUAUUUUAAUGGGUUAUAUCUGUCAUUCCAAAUUAUGACACUCUUUCGCUUCUCUAUUUCUGAUUAUGAAUUGUGAUGAUUUGCUAUAAACAAUUGUUGUUUGCAAAGAUGAAGCCUGUCCUUCACUGUAUAAAACCAGUGUUAGUUUUGUGUUGCUGUAUACUAGGCAAAUAGUAGCUUGAACCAAUGCUUGGAUUUGCCUGCAAGUAAACCUUGUGGCUGAAGUAACCCUUUAUGGCAUCGAUUGAAUGCUUUUUUAGUAGCUGUAAACCAUUGUUGGAGUAACUUUUGAGUUAUGGGUUCAAGAAAUCAAUGUGGAUUUUUUUCGUAGAAAGAGACAUUUGACAUCUUCGCGACCGGGCCAGGAAAAGCUUUUGGGCUUCACCUGUUCGCAGACAUCCGCUAGUCCCAAUGGAGGAUCAAACUAUGGGUUUGUAGGUUGAUAAAGUUCAGUGUUUGGAAGUCAAACUUUAGGUGUGUGUGCAGAAAAACAAGUAUAGAUGAAGUUAAUGUACAUUUGAAAAUUCACUUUGUCAAACGCAGAAUUCACAUCGUUUUAAUUCUGAAUCUGUUGUUGACCCUAUCUUUUUGCUAUGUUGCUAAACAAUGAACCUAACUACUUAGACACUCAGUGGAACAUCAUACUUUGAUCUCCGAAUUACACUGACCAUAAUCAUCAUUCAUUUAGUCCUUUACAUUUAUGCAUUGUCCAAGACAACAUUCGAUGUAGGGACAAAGGUUGAAACUUUACUUUCUUUUUCUUUUUCUUCCUGGUAAUGUCCUUGCUUUCACAAACUCAUCAGCUCCUUAGUUCCUCUUCAUCUUAUUAUUUAUUUGUUGUCCUUACAAAAUCAUCAAUUUACCUGUGUUAGAAAAUACGCAGUUCCGGAAAAAAUGUCUUAUGUUUGUUAAUGUGUCCUCCAAACUCCCAAGGAAUAAAAAUAUCUAUAUCUCAGUAAGACAUGAUUGGGCACAAACUCUCAAAUUCAGUAGAGAAUCAAAAGUAGCCUUGCAGCGUUCUAGUGUUGAACGCAAUGGAACGUUUACGUUAGUACAUUUUCAGUACAUUAUGUUUUUCUUUUAAAAAAUAUAAGGAUGAAAGGAGAUACUAAUUUUAUAAAUUAUUCAAAUGAGUGAAAAACAGGAGACAACACAACAAUU
rnacentral:lncRNA from 1 species